ACACUCAAAUGGCUGCAGUUUAAAAAAAUGAUCUUGAAAUGAAAGACAAGAGAAAGAAGUAAGAACAGCAGGGGCUUGCGAUACCUCUGCGAAUAUCCCAAAUGCGGAUAUCUCGGGCGCGUAUUUUUGGUAGUCGGGACUGCGCACACGCUCUCCCGU